CAAAGAUGUAUGACCCGGCCCAUUCCCAUAUCCCCUUUUCUUCUUCACAAACAGCGUAUAAACACAGAAAAAACAACAUUAAUCAGCAAUCAAACACCAACGACCCGAACCCUACAUUGCAAAAUCUCCAAAUCCCAUACAAACCGAACCUUACCUGACAAUAAUCACCUCAACCCGAUCGUUCUCCCUCUUUUUCGUACCGAUCACAUGUCUCUCACGCGGGUUUGUACGAAAGGGACGCGGAUCUUCUAGAAAAAAUCAAGGUGGCAGCUAGGGCGUGUUUCAAGGGAUUAUUUCACAAAAAUUUGCUUUAAUCCGUUGGGAAUUGGUUGGAUUUGGUACUAUGAAGGUACAUAUGUGCUAAUUUCUGAUUGGGGAAAAGGAAUUUUGUUUCUUCUCAAGGUUCUCAAAUUCAAAAUUACUUCUAGAAUUCCAAUCUGAAGGCAUGAAUAGAGGAGAAUCGCUACUAUCAGAAAAUUUUGAAAAAAUAUCUCUAGGGAGAUUUUCGAAUAUACCCCUCUAUUUUCAACAUUUACUGAGGAGUUGAGCUUCAGGGGAUGUAUUCUUGGAUCCUCUAUAAAUAGCUCUCUUGAGAGCAGAAACGUGGGUCGAAAAAUUCUGGGGUUUUUUUUGGGGCUCUAGGGUUCUAAGUUGGGGGAUUUUGGGGAGGUUCAGAAAUUUUUCUUUUUUUUCUUUCAAGGGUUUGAAAGUUUAGGCUGAAAAUUUUAGGGUUCGAAAUUUCUUGAGUUUGAAGGUUCGAGAUAAAUUUUUGUAAAACUGAAAGGAAAUUCGGGAGUUCUAAAUUCAGGUUGAAUUUUUUUUAGUUGAAAGUGGUUUUCAAAAUCUUUAAGAGAAAAGCCAGAAGACACGCUAUUGGUGGUCGACGUUGCGAGAUUUCGAUAGCGACGAUUUUACUGAUAGCUCGUCGUUCCGUUUGCUGCCCCAAAAGAGAAAUUCGUUGUUAUGAUGUUCCAUAUUCAAAUAGCGGAGAUUCACGAAGAAGUUGGAACUAUAUCAAGAUUAGAAUGACAAGGAAUGUCCGUAUCCGUAUAUAAUAAGUUCGUUCUCUUUCUCUGUGCAUCUCUGUGAUGGGCAAAUCUCCAUAAAAAAGGGACAACUUUCGUGUAGUGGGGGUGCCCAUGUGACUCGUGAUGGGCGUUUGAUUAUUCUAAGUUGAGAUUCUGGUCUUCACGUUGUCAAACAGUCAACAUUCUUUCUUUAGUUCAAUUUGUAGUCAAUUUCUGUUGAAUGUAAUUAAUAUCAGGAACUAUUGGUUGCUAUAUAGCAGUGCUCAUGUAGCGAUUAAAACCUUUUCUUUUCCUUUUCUAAAUUAGUUAUAACUAGAUUAAUUUCUAAACC